AUUCCAUGGUGUGGACACUUCCUUAAUAACUCCUUAAAGCACUCCAAAUAAUCAUAUAGUGACUUUCCUUCCAUCUGAUAAAAGUUAUUGAUCUCUCCCCUUAGUUU